rnacentral:other from 1 species
AGACACCUGCGGUGUACGGGAACCGGAGAAUGCGUAAUCCACAAAGUUCAUUCGGGAGCGCUUGUCGCACGGGCUAGGCGAGGUCUGUUUAUACGGAAAGUCUGAUGCCCAUGCGCCGCGCACCCACCUGCGAAAGCGGGUUAACCUUUUUCGGUUUGCGGCACAGGCGGAUGUCAU